AUGUUACAACAAAGCAAAAUUUUGAAAGUUAUCAGGAAGAAUUUGGUCAAAAAAUGCUUAGAACUCUUUACUGAACUGGCAGAAGAUAAAGAGAACUACAAGAAGUUCUAUGAGCAGUUCUCUGAAAACAUAAAGCUUGGAAUACAUGAAGACUCUCAAAAUCAGAAGAAGCUUUCAGAGCUGUUAAGAUCAGCCGCCAGGAUUAGAUUGUCACAGGAGCACGAGCCUAUUGUGGAACCUACUGUGAACUGUGCACGUGAGGGAUCCAAGUUGCCUGCUCCUUAUGAGAAUCUAACUAAUGCCUGA
ensembl:lncRNA novel transcript